CAGGUCUCCUGGGCUGCUCGGAGGAAUAUUUCUUGUGAAAUAACCAAUCUGCUAGGAGCCAUGUUCUGGCGAUGCUCUGUGCAAGGAAACAGGGGGGGACCAUUGGCUGCGCUGACUGGCAUGGUUACUGGAGGCUGGAAACAGCAGCUGCAUCUUCACCGUGGCCAUUUCUUCCAUCACAGAGCUCCUGUGGGACAUCUCUCAGGAAAACAAGCCUGGAUGCAUCAGAGAGCUGGCAACACACAUCCACCAGAUAAUUAGAUUGAAAGAAAACCACCCCUCUGAAGACAAUGAGAUGAUAAAAGAGAUCAAGGUCCCUGGGAAAACGUA
rnacentral:lncRNA from 1 species